rnacentral:rRNA from 1 species
UAUCCUGUCUGAAUAUGGGGGGACCAUCCUCCAAGGCUAAAUACUCCUGACUGACCGAUAGUGAACCAGUACCGUGAGGGAAAGGCGAAAAGAACCCCGGCGAGGGGAGUGAAAAAGAACCUGAAACCGUGUACGUACAAGCAGUGGGAGCACAGGUUUACCUGUGUGACUGCGUACCUUUUGUAUAAUGGGUCAGCGACUUAUAUUCUGUAGCAAGGUUAACCGAAUAGGGGAGCCGGAGGGAAACCGAGUCUUAAUUGGGCGUUAAGUUGCAGGGUAUAGACCCGAAACCCGGUGAUCUAGCCAUGGGCAGGUUGAAGGUUGGGUAACACUAACUGGAGGACCGAACCGACUAAUGUUGAAAAAUUAGCGGAUGACCUGUGGCUGGGGGUGAAAGGCCAAUCAAACCGGGAGAUAGCUGGUUCUCCCCGAAAGCUAUUUAGGUAGCGCCUCGUGAAUUCAUCUCCGGGGGUAGAGCACUGUUUCGGCUAGGGGGCCAUCCCGGCUUACCAACCCGAUGCAAACUGCGAAUACCGGAGAAUGUUAUCACGGGAGACACACGGCGGGUGCUAACGUCCGUCGUGAAGAGGGAAACAACCCAGACCGCCAGCUAAGGUCCCAAAGUCAUGGUUAAGUGGGAAACGAUGUGGGAAGGCCCAGACAGCCAGGAUGUUGGCUUAGAAGCAGCCAUCAUUUAAAGAAAGCGUAAUAGCUCACUGGUCGAGUCGGCCUGCGCGGAAGAUGUAACGGGGCUAAACCAUGCACCGAAGCUGCGGCAGCGACGCUUAUGCGUUGUUGGGUAGGGGAGCGUUCUGUAAGCCUGUGAAGGUGUGUCGUGAGGCAUGCUGGAGGUAUCAGAAGUGCGAAUGCUGACAUAAGUAACGAUAAAGCGGGUGAAAAGCCCGCUCGCCGGAAGACCAAGGGUUCCUGUCCAACGUUAAUCGGGGCAGGGUGAGUCGACCCCUAAGGCGAGGCCGAAAGGCGUAGUCGAUGGGAAACGGGUUAAUAUUCCCGUACUUGGUGUUACUGCGAAGGGGGGACGGAGAAGGCUAUGUUGGCCGGGCGACGGUUGUCCCGGUUUAAGCGUGUAGGUGUGUGUUCCAGGUAAAUCCGGUUCACUUUAACACUGAGGCGUGAUGACGAGGCACUACGGUGCUGAAGUAACAAAUGCCCUGCUUCCAGGAAAAGCCUCUAAGCAUCAGGUAACAUCAAAUCGUACCCCAAACCGACACAGGUGGUCAGGUAGAGAAUACCAAGGCGCUUGAGAGAACUCGGGUGAAGGAACUAGGCAAAAUGGUGCCGUAACUUCGGGAGAAGGCACGCUGACACGUAGGUGAAGUGAUUUACUCAUGGAGCUGAAGUCAGUCGAAGAUACCAGCUGGCUGCAACUGUUUAUUAAAAACACAGCACUGUGCAAACACGAAAGUGGACGUAUACGGUGUGACGCCUGCCCGGUGCCGGAAGGUUAAUUGAUGGGGUCAGCGCAAGCGAAGCUCCUGAUCGAAGCCCCGGUAAACGGCGGCCGUAACUAUAACGGUCCUAAGGUAGCGAAAUUCCUUGUCGGGUAAGUUCCGACCUGCACGAAUGGCGUAAUGAUGGCCAGGCUGUCUCCACCCGAGACUCAGUGAAAUUGAACUCGCUGUGAAGAUGCAGUGUACCCGCGGCAAGACGGAAAGACCCCGUGAACCUUUACUAUAGCUUGACACUGAACAUUGAGCCUUGAUGUGUAGGAUAGGUGGGAGGCUUUGAAGUGUGGACGCCAGUCUGCAUGGAGCCGACCUUGAAAUACCACCCUUUAAUGUUUGAUGUUCUAACGUGGACCCGUUA